rnacentral:misc_RNA from 1 species
UUGAAACGUUGUAAAGGAAAGUUGAGCUGGUCCUUAUAGGGCAUUGUGCUCGCUUUUCUUUCAAUCUUCAUCCACCUGUGCACCUUUUGUAGAAUGACCCUUAGAAAGCAAAAGCCCUUUUGGGCUCUGUUAGUAUUUGGGCCUUUCUAUGUAUCACAAACUCAAAUGUAUGUUUUUGAAUGUCUUUUAUAAGGGGACUUAGUUGGCCCUUUUAAAACUAUA